rnacentral:tRNA from 2 species
GGAGAGAUGGCCGAGUGGCUUAAGGCGCACGCCUGGAAAGUGUGUAUACGUUAAUAGCGUAUCGAGGGUUCGAAUCCCUCUCUCUCCGCCA